UUUUCUUCCCAUGGUUUAGUUGUGUUUCUUUGAUCUUGUGCAACCUAUUUAGACCGAUGAUAGCCCGCGGAUAGGUGUGGAAACCCAUCUAUAUUGCACCCAGUAGGACACAGAAAAAAAGCCCAGGGCCUAGGGGUCGGGUGGGGCUCCUUUGGGGUGCACAACGGCUGUGCAAAAAACGGUCCAAAAAUCGCCAAGGCUUUACAGACGAAAAAUCGGCCGAUUUUUAACCAUGUGAGAAACGUCCCGAAAAUUCACAGAUAACUACUAGGCGGCCUCACUUUGAGUAAUAUCAAAGUUUUUUCCCACAAAAACCGCUCGGAGAUGCCCAGACUCAGUUUUUAUUUUCGUCCCAAUACUUUUCUUCCCAUGGUUUAGUUGUGUUUCUUUGAUCUUGUGCAACCUAUUUAGACCGAUGAUAGCCCGCGGAUAGGUGUGGAAACCCAUCUAUAUUGCACCCAGUAGACACAGAAAAAAAGCCCAGGGCCUAGGGGUCGGGUGGGGCUCGUUCGGGGUGCACAACGGUUGCGCCAAAAACGGUCCAAAAAUGGCCAAGGCUUUACCAUACGAAAAAUCGGCCGAUUUUUAACCAUGUGAGAAACGUCCCGAAAGUUCACAGAUAACUACUAGGGGCCUCACUUGAGUAAUCUCAAAGUUUUUUCCCACAAAAACCGCUCGGAGAUGCCCAGACUCAGUUUUUAUUUUCGUCCCAAUACUUUUCUUCCCAUGGUAGUUGUGUUUCUUUGAUCUUGUGCAACCUAUUUAGACCGAUGAUAGCCCGCGGAUAGGUGUGGAAACCCAUCUAUAUUGCACCCAGUAGGACACAGAAAAAAAGCCCAGGGCCUAGGGGUCGGGUGGGGCUCGUUCGGGUGCACAACGGUUGCGCCAAAAACGGUCCAAAAAUGGCCAAGGCUUUACCACACGAAAAAUCGGCCGAUUUUUAACCAUGUGAGAAACGUCCCGAAAGUUCACAGAUAACUACUAGGCGGCCUCACUUGAGUAAUCUCAAAGUUUUUUCCCACAAAAACCGCUCGGAGAUGCCCAGACUCAGUUUUUAUUUUCGUCCCAAUACUUUUCUUCCCAUGGUUAGUUGUGUUUCUUUGAUCUUGUGCAACCUAUUUAGACCGAUGAUAGCCCGCGGAUAGGUGUGGAAACCCAUCUAUAUUGCACCCAGUAGGACACAGAAAAAAAGCCCAGGGCCUAGGGGUCGGGUGGGGCUCGUUCGGGGUGCACAACGGUUGCGCCAAAAACGGUCCAAAAAUGGCCAAGGCUUUACCACACGAAAAAUCGGCCGAUUUUUAACCAUGCGAGAAACGUCCCGAAAGUUCACAGAUAACUACUAGGCGGCCUCACUUGAGUAAUCUCAAAGUUUUUUCCCACAAAAACCGCUCGGAGAUGCCCAGACUCAGUUUUUAUUUUCGUCCCAAUACUUUUCUUCCCAUGGUUAGUUGUGUUUCUUUGAUCUUGUGCAACCUAUUUAGACCGAUGAUAGCCCGCGGAUAGGUGUGGAAACCCAUCUAUAUUGCACCCAGUAGGACACAGAAAAAAAGCCCAGGGCCUAGGGGUCGGGUGGGGCUCGUUCGGGGUGCACAACGGUUGCGCCAAAAACGGUCCAAAAAUGGCCAAGGCUUUACCACACGAAAAAUCGGCCGAUUUUUAACCAUGCGAGAAACGUCCCGAAAGUUCACAGAUAACUACUAGGCGGCCUCACUUGAGUAAUCUCAAAGUUUUUUCCCACAAAAACCGCUCGGAGAUGCCCAGACUCAGUUUUUAUUUUCGUCCCAAUACUUUUCUUCCCAUGGUUAGUUGUGUUUCUUUGAUCUUGUGCAACCUAUUUAGACCGAUGAUAGCCCGCGGAUAGGUGUGGAAACCCAUCUAUAUUGCACCCAGUAGGACACAGAAAAAAAGCCCAGGGCCUAGGGGUCGGGUGGGGCUCGUUCGGGGUGCACAACGGUUGCGCCAAAAACGGUCCAAAAAUGGCCAAGGCUUUACCACACGAAAAAUCGGCCGAUUUUUAACCAUGCGAGAAACGUCCCGAAAGUUCACAGAUAACUACUAGGCGGCCUCACUUGAGUAAUCUCAAAGUUUUUUCCCACAAAAACCGCUCGGAGAUGCCCAGACUCAGUUUUUAUUUUCGUCCCAAUACUUUUCUUCCCAUGGUUUAGUUGUGUUUCUUUGAUCUUGUGCAACCUAUUUAGACCGAUGAUAGCCCGCGGAUAGGUGUGGAAACCCAUCUAUAUUGCACCCAGUAGGACACAGAAAAAAAGCCCAGGGCCUAGGGGUCGGGUGGGGCUCGUUCGGGUGCACAACGGUUGCGCCAAAAACGGUCCAAAAAUGGCCAAGGCUUUACCACAGAAAAAAUCGGCCGAUUUUUAACCAUGCGAGAAACGUCCCGAAAGUUCACAGAUAACUACUAGGCGGCCUCACUUGAGUAAUCUCAAAGUUUUUUCCCACAAAAACCGCUCGGAGAUGCCCAGACUCAGUUUUUAUUUUCGUCCCAAUACUUUUCUUCCCAUGGUUAGUUGUGUUUCUUUGAUCUUGUGCAACCUAUUUAGACCGAUGAUAGCCCGCGGAUAGGUGUGGAAACCCAUCUAUAUUGCACCCAGUAGGACACAGAAAAAAAGCCCAGGGCCUAGGGGUCGGGUGGGGCUCGUUCGGGGUGCACAACGGUUGCGCCAAAAACGGUCCAAAAAUGGCCAAGGCUUUACCACACGAAAAAUCGGCCGAUUUUUAACCAUGCGAGAAACGUCCCGAAAGUUCACAGAUAACUACUAGGCGGCCUCACUUGAGUAAUCAAAGUUUUUUCCCACAAAAACGCUCGGAGAUGCCCAGACUCAGUUUUUAUUUUCGUCCCAAUACUUUUCUUCCCAUGGUUAGUUGUGUUUUUUGAUCUUGUGCAACCUAUUUAGACCGAUGAUAGCCCGCGGAUAGGUGUGGAAACCCAUCUAUAUUGCACCCAGUAGGACACAGAAAAAAAGCCCAGGGCCUAGGGGUCGGGUGGGGCUCGUUCGGGGUGCACAACGGUUGCGCCAAAAACGGUCCAAAAAUGGCCAAGGCUUUACCACCGAAAAAUCGGCCGAUUUUUAACCAUGCGAGAAACGUCCCGAAAGUUCACAGAUAACUACUAGGCGGCCUCACUCUGAGUAAUCAAAGUUUUUUCCCACAAAAACCGCUCGGAGAUGCCCAGACUCAGUUUUUAUUUUCGUCCCAAUACUUUUCUUCCCAUGGUGUAGUUGUGUUUCUUUGAUCUUGUGCAACCUAUUUAGACCGAUGAUAGCCCGCGGAUAGGUGUGGAAACCCAUCUAUAUUGCACCCAGUAGGACACAGAAAAAAAGCCCAGGGCCUAGGGGUCGGGUGGGGCUCGUUCGGGGUGCACAACGGUUGCGCCAAAAACGGUCCAAAAAUGGCCAAGGCUUUACCACACGAAAAAUCGGCCGAUUUUUAACCAUGUGAGAAACGUCCCGAAAGUUCACAGAUAACUACUAGGCGGCCUCACUUGAGUAAUCUCAAAGUUUUUUCCCACAAAAACGCUCGGAGAUGCCCAGACUCAGUUUUUAUUUUCGUCCCAAUACUUUUCUUCCCAUGGUUAGUUGUGUUUCUUUGAUCUUGUGCAACCUAUUUAGACCGAUGAUAGCCCGCGGAUAGGUGUGGAAACCCAUCUAUAUUGCACCCAGUAGGACACAGAAAAAAAGCCCAGGGCCUAGGGGUCGGGUGGGGCUCGUUCGGGGUGCACAACGGUUGCGCCAAAAACGGUCCAAAAAUGGCCAAGGCUUUACCACACGAAAAAUCGGCCGAUUUUUAACCAUGCGAGAAACGUCCCGAAAGUUCACAGAUAACUACUAGGCGGCCUCACUUUGAGUAAUCUCAAAGUUUUUUCCCACAAAAACCGCUCGGAGAUGCCCAGACUCAGUUUUUAUUUUCGUCCCAAUACUUUUCUUCCAUGGUUAGUUGUGUUUCUUUGAUCUUGUGCAACCUAUUUAGACCGAUGAUAGCCCGCGGAUAGGUGUGGAAACCCAUCUAUAUUGCACCCAGUAGGACACAGAAAAAAAGCCCAGGGCCUAGGGUCGGGUGGGGCUCGUUCGGGGUGCACAACGGUUGCGCCAAAAACGGUCCAAAAAUGGCCAAGGCUUUACCACACGAAAAAUCGGCCGAUUUUUAACCAUGCGAGAAACGUCCCGAAAGUUCACAGAUAACUACUAGGCGGCCUCACUUUGAGUAAUCUCAAAGUUUUUUCCCACAAAAACCGCUCGAAGAUGCCCAGCUCAGUUUUUAUUUUCGUCCCAAUACUUUUCUUCCCAUGGUGUAGUUGUGUUUCUUUGAUCUUGUGCAACCUAUUUAGACCGAUGAUAGCCCGCGGAUAGGUGUGGAAACCCAUCUAUAUUGCACCCAGUAGGACACAGAAAAAAGCCCAGGGCCUAGGGGUCGGGUGGGGCUCGUUCGGGGUGCACAACGGUUGCGCCAAAAACGGUCCAAAAAUGGCCAAGGCUUUACCACACGAAAAAUCGGCCGAUUUUUAACCAUGGGAGAAACGUCCCGAAAGUUCACAGAUAACUACUAGGCGGCCUCGCUUUGAGUAAUCUCAAAGUUUUUUCCCAN
rnacentral:lncRNA from 1 species